rnacentral:rRNA from 1 species
GAUGAACGCUGGCGGCGUGCUUAACACAUGCAAGUCGAGCGAAGCGCUUUGGUUAGAUUCUUCGGAUGAAGUUUUGGUGACUGAGUGGCGGACGGGUGAGUAACGCGUGGGUAACCUGCCUCAUACAGGGGGAUAACAGUUAGAAAUGGCUGCUAAUACCGCAUAAGCGCACGGUACUGCAUGGUACAGUGUGAAAAACUCCGGUGGUAUGAGAUGGACCCGCGUUGGAUUAGCUAGUUGGCAGGGUAACGGCCCACCAAGGCGACGAUCCAUAGCCGGCCUGAGAGGGUGGACGGCACAUUGGGACUGAGACACGGCCCAGACUCCUACGGGAGGCAGCAGUGGGGAAUAUUGCACAAUGGGGGAAACCCUGA